rnacentral:rRNA from 1 species
UACGAAAGGGGCUAGCGUUGCUCGGAAUGACUGGGCGUAAAGGGCGCGUAGGCGGCUUGCACCGUCAGAUGUGAAAUUCCUGGGCUUAACCUGGGGGCUGCAUUUGAUACGUGUGGGCUUGAGUGCGGAAGAGGGUCGUGGAAUUCCCAGUGUAGAGGUGAAAUUCGUGGAUAUUGGGAAGAACACCGGUGGCGAAGGCGGCGACCUGGUCCGUGACUGACGCUGAGGCGCGAAAGCGUGGGGAGCAAACAGG